rnacentral:rRNA from 1 species
GUCUACGGCCAUGCCACCCUGAACAAACCUGAUCCCGGCUGAUCCUGGAAGCUAAGCAGGGUCGGGCCUGGUUACUAAGUACUUGGAUGAGAGACCGCCUAGGAAGACCAGGUGCUGUAGGCG